GAUGAAGAACGUAGCGAAAUGCGAUAAGUAAUGUGAAUUGCAGAAUUCAGUGAAUCAUCGAAUCUUUGAACGCACCUUGCGCCCUUUGGCCAUUCCGAAGGGCAUGCCUGUUUGAGUAUCAUGAACACCUCAACUCUUUAUGGUUUUCCAUGAUGAGCUUGGACUUUGGGGGUUUUGCUGGCCUAUGGUCGGCUCCUCUAAAAUAAAUCAGCUUACCAGUGUUUGGUGGGUAUCAUGGGUGUGAUAACUAUCUACGCUUGUGGUUUUUCCGCCAGGUAACCUUCGACAGCGGAGGUUCACUGGAGCUCAUAGAUGUCUCUCCUCAGCGAGGACAGCCCUUUGAAUGUUUGAUCUCAAAUCAGGUAGGACUACCCGCUGAACUUAAGCAUAUCAAUAAGCGAGGA
rnacentral:misc_RNA from 1 species